GAUGAACGCUGGCGGCGUGCCUAAUACAUGCAAGUCGAGCGAACAGACGAGGGGCUUGCUCCUCUGACGUUAGCGGCGGACGGGUGAGUAACACGUGGAUAACCUACCUAUAAGACUGGGAUAACUUCGGGAAACCGGAGCUAAUACCGGAUAAUAUAUUGAACCGCAUGGUUCAAUAAUGAAAGACGGUUUUGCUGUCACUUAUAGAUUGAUCCGCGCCGCAUUAGCUAGUUGGCAAGGUAACGGCUUACCAAGGCAACGAUUCGUAGCCGACCUGAGAGGGUGAUCGGCCACACGGGAACUGAGACGCGGUCCAGGCUCCUACGGGAGGGAGCAGUAGGGAAUCUUCCGCAAUGGGCGAAAGCCUGACGGAGCAACGCCGCGUGAGAUAUGAAGAUCUUGGGAUCGUAAAACUCUGUUAUUAGGGAUGAACAAAUGUGUAAGUAACUAUGCACGUAUUGACGGUACCUAGUCAGAAAGCCACGGCUAACUACGUG
rnacentral:rRNA from 1 species